UACAGAGGUCUCAAGCGUUGUUCGGAUUCAUUGGGCGUAAAGGGUGCGUAGGUGGCGCUGUAAGUCAGGUGUGAAAUUUCGGAGCUUAACUCCGAAACUGCAUUUGAUACUGCGGUGCUUGAGGACUGGAGAGGAGACUGGAAUUUACGGUGUAGCGGUGAAAUGCGUAGAUAUCGUAAGGAAGACCAGUGGCGAAGGCGGGUCUCUGGACAGUUCCUGACGCUGAGGCACGAAGGCCAGGGGAGCAAACGGG
rnacentral:rRNA from 1 species